CAGUCGCCGCGGUAAUACGAAGGGGGCUAGCGUUGCUCGGAAUGACUGGGCGUAAAGGGCGCGUAGGCGGAUUGUUUAGUUAGGCGUGAAAUUCCUGGGCUUAACCUGGGGACUGCGCUUAAUACAGGCAGUCUAGAGUGAGGAAGAGGGUUGUGGAAUUCCCAGUGUAGAGGUGAAAUUCGUAGAUAUCGGAAGGAACACCUAUGGCGAAAGCGGCUCACUGGACAUUUACUGACGCUGAUGCACGAAAGCUAGGGGAGCAAACAGGAUUAGAUACCCGCGUAGUCCCUGUCUCUUAUAC
rnacentral:rRNA from 1 species